CAAGCGUGUGCUGUCGUUGAGUCCGAGCAUCGAAGAAUUCGGGCACUUCCGGCUGGACCUCGUCUCCUACCUGGGCGCUGUCUGGCUCAUCACCUUCUUUCACGUUGUGCGGAAAGUUUUUCGUCAAGGUCUCGCUCGCCCUUGUUCCCUUCUGCUUUGGUUGCGCCCUGCUGGUCAUGACAAGGCUGUUGCUGCUCGACAACGCUGUCGAGGGCCUCCGCUACCUGUUCUCCUUCGAGUGGAAAAGCUUCGCCAAUUUCCAGAUCGCACAUUUUCCUUGCUGUCAACGCGGCUCUCCUUAACCUGGCCGGCAGCUUGAUGACCUUCUCAGCUCUGGGACACUUGGCGGCUGUAAGGGGCGCACCAUCAGUGCCGGACGUCGA
rnacentral:lncRNA from 1 species